AUGGAGCGGAAGGCGGUGGUGGUGUGCGCGCUCGUCGGAUUCCUCGGCGUCCUCUCCGCCGCGCUCGGCUUCGCCGCCGAGGGCACCCGCGUCAAGGUUUCGGAUGUGCAAACAGAUUCUUCUCCAGGUGAAUGCAUAUACCCGAGAAGCCCGGCGUUAGGCCUUGGGUUGAUGUCUGCCGUCGCCCUUAUGGUCGCACAGGCCAUUAUCAAUACAGUUGCUGGUUGCAUCUGUUGUAAGAGGCAUCCGGUUCCCUCAGACACUAACUGGAGUGUGGCUCUGAUCUCAUUCAUCGUAUCUUGGGUCACGUUCAUAAUCGCAUUCCUCCUCCUGCUUACCGGAGCCGCACUGAACGACCAAAGGGGCCAGGAGAACAUGUACUUCGGCAGCUUCUGCUACGUCGUCAAGCCGGGGGUCUUCUCCGGCGGGGCGGUGCUCUCCCUCGCGAGCGUGGCCCUGGCCAUAGUCUACUACGUGGCCCUGACGUCUUCGAAAGGCCCGCCGAGCUGGGGCCCGCAGCAGAACCAGGGCAUCUCCAUGGGCCAGCCCGUGAUCCCGCAGCAGAGCAGCGAGCCGGUGUUCGUCCAUGAGGACACCUACAACCGGCAGCAGUUCCCAUGA
rnacentral:rRNA from 1 species